rnacentral:misc_RNA from 1 species
CAACCCUCGAGCUCCCCUUUCGGGGGGAGCCCGGCGUUGGGGACCCGGCGCUAACAACGCCGGCCCCCGAAAUGGAGUGGCGGCCCGUCCGCGGCGACCUCUGCGUAGUAACAACCACUCGCACCGGGACCCGGGCGCGGCCACGCCGUAAAACACCCCACCUUCCGAA